rnacentral:misc_RNA from 1 species
GAAAUGCGAUAAGUAAUGUGAAUUGCAGAAUUCAGUGAAUCAUCGAAUCUUUGAACGCGCAUUGCGCCCGCCAGUAUUCUGGCGGGCAUGCCUGUUCGAGCGUCAUUACAACCCUCAGGCCCCGGGCCUGGCGUUGGGGAUCGGCGGAAGCCCCCUGCGGGCACAACGCCGUCCCCCAAAUACAGUGGCGGUCCCGCCGCAGCUUCCAUUGCGUAGUAGCUAACACCUCGCAACUGGAGAGCGGCGCGGCCACGCCGUAAAACACCCAACUUCUGAAUGUUGACCUCGAAUCAGGUAGGAAUACCCGCUGAACUUAAGC